rnacentral:rRNA from 1 species
GUAGUAGCAAAUACUCCAGCGAGGCCCUGGAGGGCUGAGGUGGAGAAGGGUUUCGUGUGAACAGCCGUUGCACACGAGUCAGUCGAUCCUAAGCUCUAAGAGAGCUCUGAAGUAUGGGGGCCGGCGGCCCCCACGAGCGAAAGGGAAUCCGGUUCCUAUUCCGGAACCCGGCAGCGGAACCGUCCUACGUCGGGCCCCCCUCCGCCAGGAGGGAAGCUCGUCGGGGCAACCCAAAAAGACCCGGAGACGCCGUCGGGAGAUCGGGGAAGAGUUUUCUUUUCUGUUUGAGCGCUCGAGUUCCCUGGAAUUCUCUAGCAGAGAGAUAGGGUUUGGAGCGCGAAGAGCACCGCAGUUGCGGCGGUGUCCCGAUCUUCCCCUCGGACCUUGAAAAUCCGGGAGAGGGCCACGUGGAGGUGUCGCGCCGGUUCGUACCCAUAUCCGCAGCAGGUCUCCAAGGUGAAGAGCCUCUAGUCGAUAGACUAAUGUAGGUAAAGGAAGUCGGCAAAUUGGAUCCGUAACUUCGGGAUAAGGAU